rnacentral:tRNA from 1 species
UAGCUCAGUUGGUAGAGCGUGACGUUUGUAAUGCCAGGGUUGUGGGUUCGAUACCCAC